UGAGUCUUGUAUUGGAAUGAUGGGAAUUUAAACCCCUUCCAGAGUAUCAAUUGGAGGGCAAGUCUGGUGCCAGCAGCCGCGGUAAUUCCAGCUCCAAUAGCGUAUAUUAAACUUGUUGCAGUUAAAAAGCUCGUAGUUGAAUUUCUGCUGUUUCGUUGACUGCGUUUGGCGUUUGUCAUCGUUGCGGCUUGGUUGGGUUUCGAUUAUUCGUUUCCCGGCGUUUACUUUGAGAAAAUUAGAGUGCUUGAAGCAGGCUUUUGCCUUGAAUACUUUAGCAUGGAAUAACGGAGUAGGACUUUGGUUCUAUUUUGUUGGUUUUAGGAGCCAGAGUAAUGGUUAAUAGGAACAGUUGGGGGCAUUCGUAUUUGACUGUCAGAGGUGAAAUUCUUAGAGUACAGCUAUGGAUCCAUUGA
rnacentral:rRNA from 1 species